AUUGAACGCUGGCGGCAUGCCUUACACAUGCAAGUCGAACGGCAGCACGGGAGCAAUCCUGGUGGCGAGUGGCGAACGGGUGAGUAAUAUAUCGGAACGUGCCCAGUCGUGGGGGAUAACGCAGCGAAAGCUGUGCUAAUACCGCAUACGAUCUACGGAUGAAAGCGGGGGAUCGCAAGACCUCGCGCGAUUGGAGCGGCCGAUAUCAGAUUAGCUAGUUGGUGGGGUAAAAGCCCACCAAGGCGCCGAUCUGUAGCUGGUCUGAGAGGACGACCAGCCACACUGGAACUGGGACACGGUUCAGACUCCUACGGGAGGCAGCAGUGGGGAAUUUAGGACAAUGGGCGCAAGCCUGAUCCAGCAAUGCCGCGUGCAGGAUGAAGGCCUUCGGGUUGUAAACUGCUUUUGUACGGAACGAAACGGCGAGCUCUAAUACAGUUUGCUAAUGACGGUACCGUAAGAAUAAGCACCGGCUAACUACGUGCCAGCAGCCGCGGUAA
rnacentral:rRNA from 1 species